AAAAACUUUCAAAAAAUAUAUAUAUCUAAAAUAAAAUAAAAAUAUUUUCUAUUUUUGUUACUUUUCUUAUCUCCUUUCUCUCUCUUACUAAUUUUUGAUUUUUAUUUGAUCAAGAAUCGAAGAGGAAGUCCGGGAUGAUCAAAAAGGGAAGUGCUGAAAAAAGAAUGCUGUAGAGGUUUGCUUUUAAAAAAAAUUGCUGGGGAAAUUCUCUUUGGUAACAUCUAAACCUUUCUUAUUUAAAUUGAUUCCUAAUUAGCCUGAAAUUUUGUGGUGAUUGUUUGAUUUUAAUUUUAGUAAAAGUGUGAAUGCAUGCUUGAUACACAUACAUCAAUUAAUCCGCACAUAGUAAGGGCAAUCACCGCAACAAGAUAAGAACUAGAUUUCAUCACCAGAUUCUUGCCCAAAUUAGGUAAAUCAAUUCUCACAUAGCUAUCACGUUAAUUAAAAUCAAUUAGACGUUGGCCUCUAGGGACAUUCGAGCUCAAUAGGACGAAGAUCACUGAAAGUUGCACCAAUUUCGCUCUGUGGCUCAGUUGAUGUCUAGGCAAGCUUUGUCCCAAGGGAGACAGUUCAUCUGUUCGAGGCAAGUGGUUUUUAAGUGGGACCUUUGCAACGCAUCGUGACCCCCCCACUUACCUGGGAGCUUACCUGGUCAACUUCGUUCAUUAGACCGGAUUGGAGGCUUAGGUGCCCUCUUCAAACCAGUUAGGAGCUGUCUAGUGAUUUUAGGGCAAAUACAAGGAUUUGACGUAUUUUUCUUUUAGUGCAUGCUUGACUUGACUGAUCAGAAGAGUAUAACUCCUUGCUCGACAAUCAGUCUUCCACAAAUUUUCUUCCUUGGAGAACUCGGCAUGAAUCCGGUAUAAUUUGAUAAGGAUGCGCUCCGUCUGGCUGAAGACGUUAAACUUAGCACUUGUUGGGAGGCAACCCAAUUCUCAUAGAUUAUUUUUGCAUAUUUUCUUGUCGCAUUUUUUUUUUCUAGGAGUCCUCAUAUUACUGAUGCAACUAAGGUACAAUGCUUCUAUCCUCCAUAUGCAUCAUAUUUUCAUCCCAAAUAAAAAAUAUAUAAAAAAUAAAAAUCAUAAUAUAAUAUCUCAAAAAAUAAAAAAAAUUAAAAAAAAAUAUUGAGGUCAAUGUCUGAUCUAGGUUGGGGAGUAUAGGAUUCGAAUUUUUGAAGAAAUUUUUCGCAUUUUCGUAUUUUUGAAUAAAUUUUUCGAAAAAAAAACCUAAUUUCUAUGCCUUAGUGCUGAAAUGAUAAAUACACAAAGUAUAUAAAAUCUAAAAAUCCCAAUGAUUUGUCAGGAAUAAGACAAUUUGAGUUCUUUUCAUUAAAAGUUCUUUAGUGAGUGGUAAGAUAAUUUGUACUUUGGAAUUUCACAAUACACAUGGCCUGCACUUCUAAGGGUUAGGUUCAACAUUAUGUUGUUAAGUCUGGUAGCAACCUUGAGUCCUGAUGAAUCAUUCCUAUCUAAUUCACUAUUAUUCCAUAUUUAUUAAAAAAAAUAGUCAGGUACAUCGAAAAGGGCUACCUAUUGUCAAAGGUUAGCGGGCUUGUAUGAGGAACCCGAGCAUAGGUUCGUAGGGGAGUCUUGAUGCCCAACACCUUAUGCCAUCUGAUGUGGAAGUGUUGACUGAAUACUCGCUAUACGGAGGAAUCAUUGCAAGAGUAAAAGUACGUAAUUUAUUUAUAAAUAAAAAAAAAAGAAAAAAAAAAGAGAAAAUAAUAUUGACCUUGAAAAAAGAUAGUGUGAAAGCCGUCGCUAUAAAAAUUCGAGUAAACUGUAAUAUUACAGAUAAAGCCCAUGAGGUAUUAAAGUAAACAUCCACAACUCUCGAAAUCCUGCAAGAUAGGAUGAUUUUGAAUCAGUGAUUAGGUCUUAUCUGACCAAUUCUUGGAAACUACCAGCUUUAGCAGUAUUUUGGGGAAUCUAAAACCUUAGCUUGUGUUUGGUCCAAAUAUCACCAAGCACCCAAGUAUAAAUAAGCCUUACAACUCUCUAACAGAAACUUAAUGACUUCAACUUAAGUUGCAUACUGACUUAGGAUUUGGGCUGACUUAGUAAUUAAAACUUUGUGUGCUUUUGAAAUUAUUGGCACUUAUGCAUUUGAAAUUAGAUUUUAUAAAACGAUAAAAUAAAUUCUUUGGGUAGAGACAACAGUUUGUGGGUAUCUGAGCCGGAAACCCUCACGAGACAAAACUCGUCCACUAGGGCCACCUAGGGGUUUAAAGCCUUAUUGCAUACGGUAAAUGCAAUCGCGAUUCCUGCGAAAGUGAGUUUGUUUUUAUUUCGCUCGAUGACUAGCAAAAUGUAGGUUGGGGGUGUGAUAAGUGCUAAAUAAUGCAUAAAUUAAUAUCUUAUUUAUAGCACUUAUCAUUAUUUUAAUUCACAUAUCUUGUAAAUUUAACUAAAAAAAUGUAUUACCUUCAUCAUUGCAUUUUAAAGGUAAUUCAAGUUUGAUUUGAUUAUUUAUUGAUUAAGCUUAAUGCAUGCAGGUCGAGUCGAGCUCAAUUAGGUAAAGCCUAAACGGACACUACAUCAUUUCACAAUUUCACAUUCUCCUGAGUCGACUCCAAGAACUCUUUUCCAAAAUCCAGUGCUUUCCAAGUUCACCUAAAUUUCGUCCCACUCAUUCGAAUUCUCCUGUUUUAAUAUUAAAAAUAAUACAAUCCCUUCAAUCAAUUAUUUCUCAGAUCUCAAAGCAUACUAUCUUAGUUGCACAGAUUGCAAAGCCUCACCCCUUCAAUCCAUUUCAACUUCCAACGAAUAAUCCCAGAUCUCCUCCCAGCCAUUCCGCUUCCCUCCACGUCAUUUCUUUAGGAACAGAGCCAUAUGUACAGGAUAAGCUCUCAUAUCCAAACUUCCCCUUCUUCCGGAUCGUUCUCACAUUCAUUCCAUUCGAAACUCAAAGCUUCUCCCGGAUCACUCCCUCUCAACCGAAUCUAGCUUUCCAUCACCCACGGAUAAGCCCAAGCCAGCCUUCAUCUCAUCCGCGAUUAACUCCCAGCUUCAUCCCAUUCAAAUUCCUUCUCCUAAGCUUCUCCAGCUAGAUUCCCUCCACAGAUGAACAUCUCCCAACGUCCAGCUUCAUCUUCCCGAGAUCCCAACUCCAAGCGCCCACAUCUUCGGCAGUCCAAAGAACAAAUCCAAACCUCCACGAACAGAGUACGUCCGCAGCUUCAUCCUCCCGAUUCCUCCGGCACCUCAUUUAAGCCGUGAACAGCACCCCAGCAUCUUCCGGAUGAGCAUUCCAUCUUCUUCUGACUUCUUCUCAUCCACAAAUCCGAACCAAAUGCAUAACAGAGCGCCCUUAUCCCGAGGAACAGACCCGUAUGUGAUCUUCUCCCCUGUUUCACGCAUGGCCAGCCGUUCCCAAGCUUCACAGAAGCUUCAUCUAAACUGUCAACCGAAUCCAAGUUUUUCCCCUGUUUCGGAAUCAAGUCCCAAUAUCCCACGGAACAGCUCCUCCCGCGAUGCUUGCCAUACAAACUUCUAUCUUUAUCCAACACCCAAGCUGCCGAAUCCCAUGGAACAUCUCCCCUGUUCCCAACCGAAUCGAGUUCAUCCUCCCGUGAUCCACUCAUCUCCCAGCUGCAUCCAUUUGAUUCCAGCUCCAUCCUUGCGAGUUUCACGGCAUCCAAACAUCCCCUGUUUCUCCACGACCAGGCUUCUUCCACGUCCACCAGCGAGGGAUUCUUCCCAGCCAAAGGAAAUCAAACAUCGAACCGAGCCAUAUCUAAGCACCUUCAUUCCGUUUUACUCCCAGCGUCUGCAUAUCCAUGGGAUAAACUCAAAUCCCAGCUUCUCUUCCGGUUUGAUCCCAUGAAAUCGCUAACGUCUCAGCUCAUCUUCCGACGCGUCCGGCUUCACGCGUCUUCUCCUUUGAUCCGAACCACAGCAGUCCACGAAUCAGGCCAAGCUUCAUCCCAACGGCAAAGGGUUCAUCCUUAUCUACAUUCGAAACAGAAGAGGGGAGUCGCAGCCUAUAAAAGGCCCCAGGGUGAACAGAGGAGGAUUCAUUGACGACCGGGAGAAGAAGAUCUCGGGAGAGAGGGAGUUCCCACCGAAGUAAAAAGGAAAGAGAGGCUUUUGGGUAUUGUGGGAAGAACUUCCCACGGAAAAAGAAAAAAAAAUGAAAUGCUAAGGGAGUCCCACGGGAGAGGAAAAAGCCGGAAGGAAGAAAUGAGAGCCCGCUGCUGUGCCACUGCUGCUGUCGCCCACGACUUCAUUGGAAGGCUGAUCUCCUCUCUAGGGUUGGAUGCAGCCCUAACAAAGGAACACGGGUUUUAUAUUUUAUUUUAUAUUCUUGGGGUUGUAUGAACUUAUUAUUAUUUUUAAUGGAUAUCUUCUUCUGAAUCAUAUUUAAUUUUUGUGAUUUUAAGUAUGGUGUUCGUACAACUAUUCUUCAUGAUCAUUAAAGUAAAAAUAAGAUAGUUCAUGCUUAAGGAAGAUGCGAUGUGCUACCACCUUAGAUUAGGAUAGACAUUUCAUGCUAACUAAAGAUGGACUAUGCCUAAAUUGCUUUUGUGAAAUUUUUAUUCGAAUGCUUAUUAGGCUUGUAGCCAAUUUGCAUGUUAAUUCAAGAACGAAAUAAAUUAUAAAUAACCCUUGUUCCGAUGUUAGUGGUGAAUUCCUUGCCCUAGGUUCCCUCAAACUGAUAUCAUUUUAAUUGCAUUUUUUUAUUAAAUUUCUUAGUUUAAUUUUCUUCACAAACUCUUCUUUUUAAUUUUCUUUUAAGAAAAAUAACUAUACCCCAAUCCCUAUGGAUCGAUACCCGUAAUCACUAUCUUACUAGAUAUGUGCUAUUGCGUGGUCUUUAAAGUUGACUAUCAAUUUUUGGCGCCGUUGCCGGGGAUUGUUAGCAUAGUUAUUUUUCUUUUUAUUAAAAAAAACUUUCAAAAAAAAACUUUCAAAAAAUAUAUAUAUCUAAAAUAAAAUAAAAAUAUUUUCUAUUUUUGUUACUUUUCUUAUCUCCUUUCUCUCUCUUACUAAUUUUUGAUUUUUAUUUGAUCAGGAAUCGAUGAGGAAGUCCGGGAUGAUUAAAAAGGGAACUGCUGAAAAAAGAAUGCUGUAGAGGUUUGCUUUUAAAAAAAAUUGCUGGGAAAAUUCUCUUUGGUAACAUCUAAACCUUUCUUAUUUAAAUUGAUUCCCAAUUAGCCUGAAAUUUUGUGGUGAUUGUUUGAUUUUAAUUUUAGUAAAAGUGUGAAUGCAUGCUUGAUACACAUACAUCAAUUAAUCCGCACAUAGUAAGGGCAAUCACCCCAACAAGAUAAGAACUGGAUUUCAUCACCAGAUUCUUACCCAAAUUAGGUGAAUCAAUUCUCACAUAGCUAUCACGUUAAUUAAAAUCAAUUAGACGUUGGCCCCUAGAGACAUUCGAGCUCAAUAGGACGAAGAUCACUGAAAGUUGCACCAAUUUCGCUCUGUGGCUCAGUUGAUGUCUAGGCAAGCUUUGUCCCAAGGGAGACAGUUCAUCUGUUCGAGGCAAGUGGUUUUUAAGUGGGACCUUUGCAACGCAUCGUGACCCCCCCACUUACCUGGGAGCUUACCUGGUCAACUUCGUUCAUUAGACCGGAUUGGAGGCUUAGGUGUCCUCUUCAAACCAGUUAGGAGCUGUCUAGUGAUUUUAGGGCAAAUACAAGGAUUUGACGUAUUUUUCUUUUAGUGCAUGCUUGACUUGACUGAUCAGAAGAGUAUAACUCCUUGCUCGACAAUCAGUCUUCCACAAAUUUUCUUUCUUGGAGAACUCGGCAUGAAUCCGGUAUAAUUCGAUAAGGAUGCGCUCCGUCUGGCUGAAGACGUUAAACUUAGUACUUGUUGGGAGGCAACCCAAUUCUCAUAGAUUAUUUUUGCAUAUUUUCUUGUCGCAUUUUUUUUUCAGGAGUCCUCAUAUUACUGAUGCAACUAAGGUACAAUGCUUCUAUCCUCCAUAUGCAUCAUAUUUUCAUCCCAAAUAAAAAAAUAUAUAAAAAAUAAAAAUCAUAAUAUAAUAUCUCAAAAAAAUAAAAAAAUAAAAAAAUAAAAAAAACAUUGAGGACAAUGUCUGAUCUAGGUUGGGGGGUAUAGGAUUCGAAUUUUUGAAGAAAUUUUUCGCAUUUUCAUAUUUUUGAAUAAAUUUUUAGAAAAAAAACCUAAUUUCUAUGCCUUAGUGCUGAAAUGAUAAAUACACAAAGUAUAUAAAAUCUAAAAAGCCCAAUGAUUUGUCAGGAAUAAGACAAUUUGAGUUCUUUUCAUUAAAAGUUCUUUUAGUGAGUGGUAAGAUAAUUUGUACUUUGGAAUUUCACAAUACACAUGGCCUGCACUUCUAAGGGUUAGGUUCAACAUUAUGUUGUUAAGUCUGGUAGCAACCUUGAGUCCUGAUGAAUCAUUCCUAUCUAAUUCACUAUUAUUCCAUAUUUAUUAAAAAAAAUAGUCAGGUACAUCGAAAAGGGCUACCUAUUGUCAAAGGUCAGCGGGCUUGUAUGAGGAACCUGAGCAUAGGUCCAUAGGGGAGUCUUGAUGCCCAACACCUUAUGCCAUCUGGUGUGGAAGUGUUGACUGAAUGCUCGCUAUACGGAGGAAUCAUUACAAGAGUAAAAGUACGUAAUUUAUUUAUAAUUUAAAAAAAGAAAAAAAAGAGAAAAUAAUAUUGACCUUGAAAAAAGACGAUAGUGUGAAAGCCGUCGCUGUAAAAAUUCGAGUAAACUGGAAUAUUACAGAUAAAGCCCAUGAGGUAUUAAAGUAAGCAUCCACAACUCUCGAAAUCCUGCAAGAUAGGAUGAUUUUGAAUCAGUGAUUAGGUCUUAUCUGACCAAUUCUUGGAAACUACCAGCUUUAGCAGUAUUUUGGGGAAUCUAAAACCUUAGCUUGUGUAUGGUCCAGAUAUCACCAAGCACCCAAGUAUAAAUAAGCCUUACAACUCUCUAAUAGAAACUUAAUGACUUCAACUUAAGUUGCAUACUGACUUAGGAUUUGGGCUGACUUAGUAAUUAAAACUUUGUGUGCUUUUGAAAUUAUUGGCACUUAUGCAUUUGAAAUUAGAUUUUAUAAAACGAUAAAAUAAAUUCUUUGGGUAGAGACAACAGUUUGUGGGUAUCUGAGCCGAAAACCCUCACGAGACAAAACUCGUCCACUAGGGCCACCUAGGGGUUUAAAGCCUUAUUGCAUACGGUAAAUGCAAUCGCGAUUCCUGCGAAAGUGAGUUUGUUUUUAUUUCGCUCGAGGACUAGCAAAAUGUAGGUUGGGGGGUGUGAUAAGUGCUAAAUAAUGCAUAAAUUAAUAUCUUAUUUAUAGCACUUAUCAUUAAUUUAAUUCACAUAUUUUGUUAAUUUAACUAAAAAAAUGUAUUACCUUCAUCAUUGCAUUUUACAGGUAAUUCAAGUUUGAUUUGAUUAUUUAUUGAUUAAGCUUAAUGCAUGCAGGUCGAGUCGAGCUCAAUUAGGUAAAGCCUAAAUGGACACUACAUCAUUUCACAAUUUCACAUUCUCCUAAGUCGACUCCAAAAACUCUUCUCCAAAAUCCAGUGCUUUCCAAGUUCACCUAAAUUUCGUCCCACUCAUUCCAAUUCUCCUGUUUUAACAUUAAAAAUAAUACAAUCCCUUCAAUCAAUUGUUUCUCAGAUCUCAAAGUAUACUAUCUUAGUUGCACAGAUUGCAAAGCCUCACCCCUUCAAUCCAUUUCAACUUCCCACGAAUAAUCCCAGAUCUCCUCCCAGCCAUUCCGCUUCCCUCCACGUCAUUUCUUUAGGAACAGAGCCAUAUAUACAGGAUAAGCUCUCAUAUCCAAACUUCCCCUUCUUCCGGAUCGUUCUCACAUUCAUUCCGUUCGAAACUCAAAGCUUCUCCCGGAUCACUCCCUCUCAACCGAAUCUAGCUUUCCAUCACCCACGGAUAAGCCCAAGCCAGCCUUCAUCUCAUCCGCGAUUAACUCCCACCUUCAUCCCAUUCAAAUUCCUUCUCCUAAGCUUCUCCAGCUAGAUUCCCUCCACGGAUGAACAUCUCCCAACGUCCAGCUUCAUCUUCCCGAGAUCCCAACUCCAAGCGCCCACAUCUUCGGCAGUCCAAAGAACAAAUCCAAACCUCCACGAACAGAGUACGUCCGCAGCUUCAUCCUCUCGAUUCUUUCGGCA
rnacentral:lncRNA from 1 species